CUGGUUGCCAUGCGAUCGCCGAAGUUAAGCAACAUCGUACCUGGUCAGUACCUAGAUGGAUGACCGCUUGGAAAUACCAGAUGCUGUAAG